CUUAUUUUAGUUUGAAUCUUGGCCAGUGAUUGAUCCAAGGAGGCGGAGAUAAACUUGUCUUUUGGAUGAUAUUUAGACAAGCGCCUAUACUUCUUGAAUUCUUCAACUUCAGGAUGUGUCAUUGAAGGAAUUGGAAGGAUUUUGAAGAGGGGAAUGUACAGAAGGGGAAUAUACUGAUCAGAAGGGGAGAUGGACCUAAUUUAUGGAAAGCAAAGCCAUUGUGCCACCUUGAAAUUUAACUUCUUGUGUUCGUGUUGGGGUCAUUUGCUCAUCAUCAUUGUAGGAAAUGGAUUGAACCCAGGUGGAAGAGAGCUGUAUUCCUCAUCUGAUGUACUCCUCAAGACCCCCAGCGUUUCCUGUUCAUGAAGUGACUGCUCCCUGAUCUUUAGGAGAGGAAACUUCCGCCCAUAUAUCUCUUCCUGGUUCACAACAAGCUCACCUGUGUUGCUUAUUUUGUUGGUAUCAAAAACUUUAGGGGCAAUGCAAACACCAAUAUCAUAGACGCCAUCAUCAAUUUUUUGCUGUAGGGUUUUUCGGAUCUUUUUUGCUGGUCUUUGAUGUGGCACAGCUAGUCCACGUACUCUUAGAUACUUUCUCCUAACUCUUUGUAUUAUGUCCCUACCACUUACAAUUUUUUGUUGAUUGAAUUUUUCUGUUUGUAUACCAUUUUCAAAAGCAAACUGCUUUAGAAUUUGGCCAGCAUUAGAAGGAAAAAUUCCUGCCUUGUUUUUGAUGUUGUAUUUCUUUCCUAAUGCUGUCCAAUUGACAUUUUCACCUUUGUUUUCUUUUAAUUCAAGUAGAAAAGAUUUUUUGUCAAAUGACUACUUUUCAAAUUUCCCAUGGUUUUUUUUUCUUUUUUCAAACCCAGUUUUAUUUUGUUGGAAUUUUUUUCAGCAGAUUUUUUUGCAGAUUCUUGUGUUUCAAAAUAUUUGUUCAUUCUUUCUCUUUCGUACUGACUGUAGGAAGCACCUGUACACAAAAAUUGGUCAACAUCGUUGUCUGGAUUAAACAAAGCGUCUUGCAUUUUGUUGUUGUUUUCUUUAAGUUUUUUAACAGUUUGUUUUUGUUUUUCUGUUGAAUUUUCUUUUGGUUGUAAGUGAAAUGUUUUUUCCACGCAUUCUUUCAAGUCUACAUCCAACUUCUGUUUUAAUAAGGGAUGUAAAGUGUUGAUGAAUUUUUCAACUUUCUUGUUUGUUAUUUCAGGGGAGGUAAUUUUAUCUGAUAUGAUAGUAUCAGUAACAUCUGAGGACAAUUUUUCGAAUUCUAUGGUUUCAUGUGUAGCAGAUGCAUGUAACCCAGAUUCUGUUUGCUGGCAUUUCUGACAGUUGCAUAGUUCAUGAGAUUUUCUUUCUGAUUCAGAGAGCUCAAGCCAGGAGACUAAACUGUAUGUUUCAAUGAAAGAUCUUUUUUCCCCAGAUUUAUUUGAGUUUUUGAAGAAUUUUGAACUGGUGAGAUAGGUUUGAACUCGCGAAACUGACUUUAAUGAUGUACAUUUUUGGAUAUUUAUGCAUGACCCGAGUGUAGAAUAGAUAUCCCUGAUUUUCACUAAGCGUGGUAUCAUACUUUGGUACAUAAUUCUGUAAUUGGGGGCUGCCGUUGACAUAGUUGUUCCAGUAGUUAAUAGCUGAAGAAUCUUUUGAGGAUCUUCCAAUAAUUACUUUUGCGAAGUGACAGAGGUUCAUGGUGGAAAGUUGAAAAAUGACUUACAGAUGGUAUUGCAUACUCUCAGGAAUGUUCAUGGUUGCCAAAAAAAUUUAGGUUGAAGAAUAACCAUUCUUCUUAUUGAUUCUGCCUGAAGGUCAUUCAUAGAAGCUUGUCUUGGAAUUUAUAGUCUCCAAAAAAAUUCUUAUUUUUAUUUUAAUGUAUUUCAAUUUUU